GUGAGUAACGCGUGGGCAACCUACCCCACACAGGGGGACAACAGUUGGAAACGACUGCUAAUACCGCAUAGGCGCACAGCUUCGCAUGAAGCAGUGUGGAAAACCGAGGUGGUGUGGGAUGGGCCCGCGUCUGAUUAGCUGGUUGGCGGGGUAACGGCCCACCAAGGCGACGAUCAGUAGCCGGCCUGAGAGGGUGGACGGCCACAUUGGGACUGAGACACGGCCCAAACUCCUACGGGAGGCAGCAGUGGGGAAUAUUGCACAAUGGGGGAAACCCUGAUGCAGCGACGCCGCGUGAGCGAAGAAGUAUCUCGGUAUGUAAAGCUCUAUCAGCAGGGAAGAAAAUGACGGUACCUGACUAAGAAGCCCCGGCUAAAUACGUGCCAGCAGCCGCGGUAAUACGUAUGGGGCAAGCGUUAUCCGGAUUUACUGGGUGUAAAGGGAGCGCAGGCGGCUUGGCAAGUCUGAUGUGAAAGGCUGGGGCUCAACCCCAGGACUGCAUUGGAAACUGUUAGGCUAGAGUGUCGGAGAGGUAAGCGGAAUUCCUAGU
rnacentral:rRNA from 1 species